rnacentral:rRNA from 1 species
CAGUAGCCGCGGGAACACGUAGGGCGCAAGCGUUAAUCGGAAUUACUGGGCGUAAAGCGUGCGCAGGCGGCUAUGCAAGACAGAUGUGAAAUCCCCGGGCUCAACCUGGGAACUGCAUUUGUGACUGCAUGGCUAGAGUACGGUAGAGGGGGAUGGAAUUCCGCGUGUAGCAGUGAAAUGCGUAGAUAUGCGGAGGAACACCGAUGGCGAAGGCAAUCCCCUGGACCUGUACUGACGCUCAUGCACGAAAGCGUGGGGAGCAAACAGGAUUAGAUACCCCAGUAGUCCCUGUCUCUUAUAC